UACGAAGGGUGCAAACGUUGCUCGGAAUUAUUGGGCGUAAAGCGCACGUAGGCGGCUUUGCAAGUCGGAUGUGAAAUCCCUCGGCUUAACCAAGGAAGUGCAUCCGAAACUGCAGAGCUUGAGUACUUAAGAGGAUCGCGGAAUUCCCGGUGUAGAGGUGAAAUUCGUAGAUAUCGGGAGGAACACCAGUGGCGAAGGCGGCGAUCUGGGAAGAUACUGACGCUGAGACGCGAAAGCGUGGGGAGCGAACAGG
rnacentral:rRNA from 1 species